AGGUUGCUAAAUCCACCAAUUGGGAUUCAACGAACAAACUCCAUUAGAGAAUGAUAAGAUCUGAAAGUCCACCACCGUUUGCUAAUCGAACUGAAGCUUAGAGACAACGACUGAGAGUCAAUCUAAAAUUAACAAAGGAACACAUCUUCAUACCAUCAAUCUUAGUCGCAAAACUCUGAAAAGAAACAUGCUAGAGAGAGUUGACCUUAGUCGCCUAAAACCAUGACGCUGAUACAAUUUAUUCAGGAAAAAGAUAAGAAGCGGCAACAGAUAACCGAAACAAUAGCUAACCACAACAGAUAGCCGAAACAAUAGCAAACCACACCAGAAACAAAACCGGACUACACCAGAAAGUUGGUAAGCAUACCGAACGGUGGAACAAGGAUUGAGUUCCCUAUCUUUGAAGAAUCCUAGAGAGAGAAACUCAGACAUAU
rnacentral:sRNA from 1 species